UACGGAGGGUGCAAGCGUUAUCCGGAAUUAUUGGGCGUAAAGAGCUCGUAGGCGGUUUGUCGCGUCUGCUGUGAAAACUGGAGGCUCAACCUCCAGCCUGCAGUGGGUACGGGCAAACUAGAGUGCGGUAGGGGAGAUUGGAAUUCCUGGUGUAGCGGUGGAAUGCGCAGAUAUCAGGAGGAACACCGAUGGCGAAGGCAGAUCUCUGGGCCGUAACUGACGCUGAGGAGCGAAAGCGUGGGGAGCGAACAGG
rnacentral:rRNA from 1 species